UGGAAUCAUUCACGAAUGGGACGAAAUCUGACCGAGCAACGCCGCGUGAGUGGAUGACGGUUUUCGAAUUGUAAGCUCUGUUGUUGCCGAGAACAGGAAAAUGAGGGAAUGCUUUUUCUAUGACGGUAGCUGACCAGAAAGCCACGGCUAACUACGUGCCAGCAGCCGCGGUAAUACGUAAGUGGCAAGCGUUGUCCGGAUUUAUUGGGCGUAAAGGGAGCGCAGGCGGUUCGUUAAGUCUGAUGUGAAAGCCCUCGGCUCAACCGAGGAGGGGCAUUGGAAACUGGCGAACUUGAGUACAGAAGAGGAGAGUGGAAUUCCAUGUGUAGCGGUGAAAUGCGUAGAUAUAUGGAGGAACACCGGUGGCGAAGGCGACUCUCUGGUCUGUGACUGACGCUGAGGCUCGAAAGCGUGGGUAGCAAACAGGAUUAGAUACCCUGGUAGUCCACGCCGUAAACGCUGAGUGCUAAGUGUUGGAGGGUUUCCGCCCUUCAGUGCUGCAGUUAACGCAUUAAGCACUCCGCCUGGGGAGUACGACCGCAAGGUUGAAACUCAAAGGAAUUGACGGGGGCCCGCACAAGCGGUGGAGCAUGUGGUUUAAUUCGAAGCAACGCGAAGAACCUUACCAGGUCUUGACAUCCUUUGACCGCCCUAGAGAUAGGGUUUCCCCUUCGGGGGCAAAGAGACAGGUGGUGCAUGGUUGUCGUCAGCUCGUGUCGUGAGAUGUUGGGUUAAGUCCCGUAACGAGCGCAACCCUUAUGGCUAGUUGCCAGCAUUCAGUUGGGCACUCUAGUCAGACUGCCGGUGACAAACCGGAGAAGGUGGGGAUGACGUCAAAUCAUCAUGCCCCUUAUGACCUGGGCUACACACGUGCUACAAUGGGGAGUACAACGAGCGCGCGAACCCGCAAGGCCCACCGAAUCUCUGAAAGCUUCUCUCAUUCCGCAUUGCAGGCUGCAACUCGCCUGCAUGAAGCCAGAUCGCUAGUAAUCGCGGAUCAUCAUGCCGGCGUGAUCCGCUCCCGGUCCUUGUACACACCGCCCGUCACACCCACGAGCAGUCGUACACCCGUAGGUCGGUGAGCUACCGCAGGGAGCCUACCGCCUGAGGGUGGGACGAACCAAUUUGGGGUGCAAUCGUUUACAACAGGGUGUCACACACA
rnacentral:rRNA from 1 species